GUGGGGAAUAUUGGACAAUGGGGGGAACCCUGAUCCAGCCAUGCCGCGUGUGUGAAGAAGGCCUUUUGGUUGUAAAGCACUUUAAGCGAGGAGGAGGCUACCGAGAUUAAUACUCUUGGAUAGUGGACGUUACUCGCAGAAUAAGCACCGGCUAACUCUGUGCCAGCAGCCGCGGUAAUACAGAGGGUGCAAGCGUUAAUCGGAUUUACUGGGCGUAAAGCGCGCGUAGGUGGCCAAUUAAGUCAAAUGUGAAAUCCCCGAGCUUAACUUGGGAAUUGCAUUCGAUACUGGUUGGCUAGAGUAUGGGAGAGGAUGGUAGAAUGCCAGGUGUAGCGGUGAAAUGCGUAGAGAUCUGGAGGAAUACCGAUGGCGAAGGCAGCCAUCUGGCCUAAUACUGACACUGAGGUGCGAAAGCAUGGGGAGCAAACAGGAUUAGAAACCCGAGUAGUCC
rnacentral:rRNA from 1 species